rnacentral:snoRNA from 1 species
GAGCAAUGAUGUUUACUUGCACAAUUUGUGAACAAUUGGGUUUUCACACGCAUCUGAUUCAAGAUGAAAUAUUGUGCAUCUGAGCUC